UCUUCUUCUUCUUCUCCGCCCCCCCCCCCUCCGCUCUUCCUCACGAGCACCUAGUUAGAAAGAGGAAGGAGGCGGGCUGCCGGUGCGGGGCUGGAGCUGUGAGCUCGCUCUCGCCGGGACGCGGAGCAAAAGGAGGAGGAACGUGGAGGGGCGCGCGGGAGGCUGGGGCGAAGCGCCGGCUGCUGCUGCUGCUGCUGCUCCCGCGGCCGCCAGCCUCUUCUCCUGGCUUCUCUGGACGUGGACGAGUUGUUGUUGUCACACGGUACAGGGAAAGGGGCGGAGCUCCGGCAACUUGAAAUGCCCCUUUGAAGCGCGCCCCAGCCUCUCCCGCACCCGCGCGGCGGCGGGCAUUAGCCUCAAUUAUCCAACCAGGAAGCCAAGAGCCAAAGGGAGAGGGAAAGCGGAGAUGCGCGGGGAGAUCUCUCCUCCUCCUCCUCUCCAGAAACCGUUAGAUUGCAUGUUUCACGUUUCAUCCCAUCAGAGGGGGUUGGACUAGAUGACCCAAGGAGCCCCCUCCAACUGCACAAUGCUGCGAUCCUGUGCGCUGCGUUUGGAGAGCCUGACUCUGCGGAGGCGGCAGCCGCUGGGCUUCGAACUUCUAACACGGCGGUGGUGAACCAAGCCCCGCCUUCCCCUUCUAUAAAUACACCGAGGCUUCUCGUCGCUGACAGGACGACUAGAUAACACGCUUAAUACAAAUACAAAAGGGCUGGUUGCCAUUCAAGGCACGGCGGCUCUCUAA